UACGUAGGGUGCAAGCGUUGUCCGGAAUUAUUGGGCGUAAAGAGCUCGUAGGCGGUCUGUCGCGUCUGCUGUGAAAACUUGGGGCUUAACCCUGAGCUUGCGGUCGAUACGGGCAUGACUGGAGUUCGGCAGGGGAGACUGGAAUUCCUGGUGUAGCGGUGAAAUGCGCAGAUAUCAGGAGGAACACCGGUGGCGAAGGCGGCUCACUGGCCGGUACUGACGCUGAGGUGCGAAAGCGUGGGGAGCAAACAGG
rnacentral:rRNA from 1 species